rnacentral:rRNA from 1 species
AAGCGCUCUGCGAACCCUGAUGAAGAUGGGCUGUCUGAGUACCAUGAAAAUUGUCAAAACUUUCAACAAUGGAUCUCUUGGUUCCGGCAUCGAUGAAGAACGCAGCGAAAUGCGAUAAGUAAUGUGAAUUGCAGAAUUCCGUGAAUCAUCGAAUCUUUGAACGCACAUUGCGCCCCCUGGCAUUCCGGGGGGCAUGCCUGUCCGAGCGUCAUUUCUGCCCUCAAGCACGGCUUGUGUGUUGGGUGUGGUCCCCCCGGGGACCUGCCCGAAAGGCAGCGGCGACGUCCGUCUGGUCCUCGAGCGCAUGGGGCUCUGUCACUCGCUCGGGAAGGACCUGCGGGGGUUGGUCACCACCACAUUUUACCACGGUUGACCUCGGAUCAAGUAGGA